GAGCAGGCAACUUCAUUAUCAUUUCACAAUCUCACUCCUCAAGAGGAAACACAGCCAGCACCUUCCUUGCUGGAAGAUCUUAGACUGAAGUGUGUAUUUGGUGAAGAGGUUCAACUGCAACAAGCAGAGAAAGAGCUCAUCAGAGAGGUA